AGCGAACGCUGGCGGCAGGCCUAACACAUGCAAGUCGAACGAACUCUUCGGAGUUAGUGGCGGACGGGUGAGUAACACGUGGGAACGUGCCUUUAGGUUCGGAAUAACUCAGGGAAACUUGUGCUAAUACCGAAUGUGCCCUUCGGGGGAAAGAUUUAUCGCCUUUAGAGCGGCCUGCGUCUGAUUAGCUAGUUGGGGAGGUAAAGGCUCACCAAGGCGACGAUCAGUAGCUGGUCUGAGAGGAUGAUCAGCCACACUGGGACUGAGACACGGCCCAAACUCCUACGGGAGGCAGCAGUGGGGAAUCUUGCGCAAUGGGCGAAAGCCUGACGCAGCCAUGCCGCGUGAAUGAUGAAGGUCUUAGGAUUGUAAAAUUCUUUCACCGGGGACGAUAAUGACGGUACCCGGAGAAGAAGCCCCGGCUAACUUCGUG
rnacentral:rRNA from 1 species